UACAGAGGGGGCAAGCGUUGUCCGGAUUUACUGGGCGUAAAGGGCGCGUAGGCGGCCGAUCAAGUCAGGCGUGAAAUUCCCGGGCUCAACCUGGGGGCUGCGCUUGAUACUGAUUGGCUUGAAUGCGGGAGAGGAUAGUGGAAUUCCCAGUGUAGAGGUGAAAUUCGUAGAUAUUGGGAAGAACACCGGUGGCGAAGGCGGCUAUCUGGCCCGUAAUUGACGCUGAGGCGCGAAAGCGUGGGGAGCAAACAGG
rnacentral:rRNA from 1 species